GUUACCUCCUGGGAAGUUCUCGUGUUGCACCCAUUUCUUUUUCAGAUGGGUCGUUCGACGUUACGCGCGACUGGAACUAUGGUCCGCUGGUUUAUACGCAAUUGUGAGUCAAGACGCAGGGGCAUUUUUACUGAUAUUAGAACGAGAAGGAGAGGUGAAGCGUGAACACACCAUGAAAUAAAUGACAGGAGGGGGAAGAAAGGAGAAGG
rnacentral:lncRNA from 1 species